rnacentral:lncRNA from 1 species
CUGUACAUGUUACAGAUGUAUGAAUGUAAGGCUGUACUGAGGUGGUUGAGGGGUCACACCUGUACAUGUUACAGAUGUAUGAAUGUAAGGCUGUCCGGAGGUGAUCGAGGUGUCACACCUGUGCAUGUUACAGAUGUAUGAAUGUAAGGCUGUACUGGGGUGGUGGAGGUGCCACACCUGUACAUGUUACAGAUGUAUGAAUGUAAGGCUGUACUGAGGUGGUGGAGGCGUCACACCUGUUCAUGUUACAGAUGUAUGAAUGUAAGGCUGUACUGAGGUUUUGGAGGCGUCACACCUGUUCAUGUUACAGAUGUAUGAAUGUAAGGCUGUACUGAGGUUUUGGAGGCGUCACACCUGUUCAUGUUACAGAUGUAUGAAUGUGAGGCUGUACUGAGGUUUUGGAGGCGUCACACCUGUUCAUGUUACAGAUGUAUGAAUGUAAGGCUGUACUGAGGUGGAGGUGCCACACCUGUACAUGUUACAGAUGUAUGAAUGUAAGGC